GGGAAUGUAGCUCAGUGGCAGAGCAUUUGCUUCAUAUGCACAAGACCCUGGGUUUUAUCCCCAACACCA
rnacentral:tRNA from 1 species